CUGCUCACUUGGUAGCACCUAUACUAAAAUUGGAACAAUACAGGGAAGAUAACCAUGGCUCCUGUGCAAGAGUUAACAGUUUCAGUGACUGCUGUUUGUACUAAUU